rnacentral:rRNA from 1 species
AUGAGGUCUCUGCAGGCUGUGCUCGUGGCGGUCCUCGUCCUGCUCGCCGUCGCCGCGACGACGGACGCUGCCUGGGCGCCGAUACCGGACCGCGACCUGAACGGCAUGGUGGUGCAGCAGGCGGGCCGGUUCGCCGUGCUCGUGCAUGACAUCACGCGCCGGACGACCCUGGUGUUCGUCAAGGUGGAGCGCGGCGAGAUGGAGCGGCCGGCGGGCGGCGGCCUCGGUACCAACUACCGGCUCGUGGUGACCGCGGCGAGGGCGCCCGGCGGGAGCAGGGGCCGGUACGAGUGCGUCGUGUGGGGCGUGCCCGGCUCGCGCACCAGCACCUGGAAGCUCCUCGGCUUCAAGGCGCUCUAG